GUGUCAGAGACACCAAAAUUUAUGCUCUGUGUUUUUGUAAUGAGUUAUUAUGACAAUAGAUUACCUGGGUCACAUUGCCUUCUCCCCACUGAGCAAAUAGAGCUAAAGGCUCAGCCAAUUAAAUAUUUGACUCCAAUAUUGCAAUUAAAAAGCAAUACAAUCGAGAAGUCCAAUCUGGGUCCCUCUGACACUUGCUACCUUCUAUUAUAUGGUAGAAAGAUAGUAAAUAUGGCAUUGACCUUAGCUUAUUCAUAGUGCCCCAAGUCUCAGCGUUCUCUCUAUUCUACCCAACGGUAGGCCCCGAUCUAGGGACUAUUUCUCACUAGCUCAAGUCAUUUUAUGCGCUAGCCUACCCAGAAACACACAGUGCCACUUAACUGUAUGUCCACAGAGAUCUCAAAGGAGUUUGCUUGUUUAUUUACCUACUUUGUUUGUUCGUUUGAGACAUGGUCUUGCUAUGUAGCCCUGCCUAGACUGGAACUCAUUAUGUAGAAAAGACUGGCCACAAACUGACAAGAGAUCUGCCUCCCUUUGCCCUCUGAGCACUGGGAUUGAAGGCAUGCGCCAUCACACUGGAAUCAAAGGAUCUUUUAGGAACUGAAGAUUUUGAAGCUGCAAUCUUGGUAAUCAAAGAACUCUAAACAUAGUGAAGAAAUGGCUUCCCUGACUUCAUACUGGCCUAGAGUGAUGGAGUAUUUGAGAUCUAGACAGCUGAGACACUUUCAGAAUGAUACUGAGGAGUGCAUUUAUUUUAGAGCUAGAAUCUCAUGGCAUAUACCCGACUGGCCUGGAAUUCACUGUGCAAACUAGGCUGACCUCAAAUUCACAAAGAUCUGCCUGCCCAUGCCCCUCAAGUGUGAGAUUAAAGGCCUAUGUUACCAUGCCCAGCAGUU